rnacentral:rRNA from 1 species
GUGAACGCUGGCGGUAGGCCUAACACCUGCAAGUCGAACGGCAGCACAGUAAGAGCUUGCUCUUACGGGUGGCGAGUGGCGAACGGGUGAGGAAUACAUCGGAAUCUACUUUUUCGUGGGGGAUAACGUAGGGAAACUUACGCUAAUACCGCAUACGACCUACGGGUGAAAGCAGGGGAUCUUCGGACCUUGCGCGAUUGAAUGAGCCGAUGUCGGAUUAGCUAGUUGGCGGGGUAAAGGCCCACCAAGGCGACGAUCCGUAGCUGGUCUGAGAGGAUGAUCAGCCACACUGGAACUGAGACACGGUCCAGACUCCUACGGGAGGCAGCAGUGGGGAAUAUUGGACAAUGGGCGCAAGCCUGAUCCAGCCAUACCGCGUGGGUGAAGAAGGCCUUCGGGUUGUAAAGCCCUUUUGUUGGGAAAGAAAAGCAGCAGGUUAAUACCCCGCUGUUCUGACGGUACCCAAAGAAUAAGCACCGGCUAACUUCGUG